GUCCAGGGGCACCGAGCUCCCUGGCUGCCCCUUCCUCCCAUUGCCCUUUCAUUCUCGGGCCGUCGCUCCGUUCAUCAGCGCUUGUCUAUACCAGUUGUCUGCCUGUGGUGUCCCCCAUUAUAGCCUCUGAGCUCCCCAGAGCGGGGUUCUGUCUAUAUCCCCAGGGCUUAGAGGCCCUCAGUAAAUCUGUGUGCACUCACUGACCACCGUCACGUCCGCUCUCCUCCCCACAGACAAACCUCAGGCCCCCUGUGAAGGGGGGCCGUCCCCAAGCCGCCAUCCGUGUGUCCAUCUUGCUCCCCGCCACGCUUCCCAGGCUCCACUAGCCGGGAGACUCCUCAGCAGGGGCCCGAGAACCUCGGCCUGGGAAGCGGAUGACGGCGUGCUUGUCCAAGCAGAGGACGGCGCAUCCAGGACCUGGAAGCAGACGGGCCCUUCGAAGCUGACCCUCACUUUAUAAGUGGGUAAACGGAGGCCCGUGAAGGCGAACGGAGUCGCCCAGAUGUUCCGAGCUCCCUUCCACGCUGAGACUCUUUAAAUGGAUGAUCUAUAUUCCUCGGGUCCUGCCAGACCCGAUUCUGAAAUAGCACCCCCUUCCCUCAGCCUCCUCCACCUCCUCCAGCUCUUUCUCUAACCCGUGGGUCAUGUGCUCCGUGAGCUACUUCCCUGGGCCCUGAUGCCCUCUUCCCCCUCCUCUCUUCCAGUCUCUUAGAGAAAGGAGUCCAUCGUAAAUCUGGGCACUUUCCCCACCCCUCCUUUCUGAAAAGGCAACACGGGAGUCAGUGCAGAGACCAGGACGGGGCUGGCCUAGCUUUGGGGCGCUGAUGGACUUACUGACUGCAUGUCCUUGGAACGCCUCCCUAACCCCACCUGACGGCCCCUCUUGUCACUCUUCGGCGUCUCGGCCAAUCACAAUCCUCGACGCCAGGAUCGGGGCGGGGCCCAUGCAAAUCAGUGACUCCACCGCGGGGCCCAUAGUGAUACACUGGAUUCGAGGCAAUCCCGGCGGGGAACCAGGAGCUCCUAAUCUGUCCGUCUGCCCGCCCGUCCAUCUGUCCCGCCCCCUCACCAUACCCCGGACCCCCGAGACCCCGGCUCCUGGGGCCUGU
rnacentral:lncRNA from 1 species